rnacentral:tRNA from 1 species
GCCUUCGUUGUGUAGUGCUAAGCACGCUCGACGUGUAUUCUAGAGGUCCGUGGUUCGAGUCCCGGCAAAGGCG